rnacentral:rRNA from 1 species
GUGCCAGCAGCCGCGGUAAUACGGAGGGUGCAAGCGUUAUUCGGAAUUACUGGGCGUAAAGCGCACGUAGGCCGCUUUGUAAGUCAGGGGUGAAAUCCCACGGCUCAACCGUGGAACUGCCCUUGAAACUGCAGAGCUCGAAUCCUGGAGAGGGUGGCGGAAUUCCUGGUGUAGGAGUGAAAUCCGUAGAUAUCAGGAGGAACACCGGUGGCGAAGGCGGCCACCUGGACAGGUAUUGACGCUGAGGUGCGAAAGUGUGGGGAGCAAACAGGAUUAGAUACCCUGGUAGUCCACACCGUAAACGAUGGAUACUAGGUGUCGGGGACUCGAUCCUUCGGUGCCGUACUAACGCGUUAAGUAUCCCGCCUGGGGAGUACCGUCCCAAGCUUGAAACUCAAAGAAAUU